rnacentral:miRNA from 1 species
CAUAGUCUACAGCCAUGCUACCCUGAACAAGCCUGAUCCCGUCUGAUCUCAGAAGCUAAGCAGGGUCGGGCCUAGUUAGUACUUGGAUGGG